UGAGCAUCAGUGAUGUGUUGCUUCCAUUGUUAUCCUUGCACUUUGAUUGCUAGUGAAGAAAAUUAUGGGCACGAUUGUCUGAGAUGCUC